GUGGGGGAUAUUGCGCAAUGGGGGGAACCCUGACGCAGCAACGCCGCGUGAAGGAUGAAGGUCUUCGGAUUGUAAACUUCUUUUAUUAAGGACGAAGAAAGUGACGGUACUUAAUGAAUAAGCUCCGGCUAACUACGUGCCAGCAGCCGCGGUAAUACGUAGGGAGCAAGCGUUGUCCGGAUUUACUGGGUGUAAAGGGUGCGUAGGCGGCUUUGCAAGUCAGAUGUGAAAUCUAUGGGCUCAACCCAUAGCCUGCAUUUGAAACUGCAGAGCUUGAGUGAAGUAGAGGCAGGCGGAAUUCCCCGUGUAGCGGUGAAAUGCGUAGAGAUGGGGAGGAACACCAGUGGCGAAGGCGGCCUGCUGGGCUUUAACUGACGCUGAGGCACGAAAGCGUGGGUAGCAAACAGGA
rnacentral:rRNA from 1 species